CUCCCUGUGGCUGAUGGGAAAGCAUCUGCCUGCAGAGCAGGAGGCUGGGGUUUGCUCCCUGCUCGGAAG
rnacentral:tRNA from 1 species